rnacentral:rRNA from 1 species
GACGAACGCUGGCGGCGUGCUUAACACAUGCAAGUCGAACGGAAAGGUCCGGUUUUGGGGCGGAGCUCUAGUUGCGAACUGGUGAGCAACCCGUAGGUAAGCUACCACUGACCGAGAGAGAACCUCAGGACACUGGGGCUCAUACCGGAUAAGAGCUCCUGCCGCAUGGUGGGGGUUGGUAAGAUUUGGCGGUUGGGGAUGGACACGCGUUGGAUCAGCUAGUUGGUAGGGUAGUAGCCUACCAAGGCGACGAUGCAUAGCUGGGCUGAGAGGAUGAUCAGCCACACUGGGACUGAGACACGGCCCAGACUCCUACGGGAGGCAGCAGAGGGGAAUAUUGGACAAUGGGCGAAAGCCUGAUCCAGCAAUGCCGCGUGAGUGAUGAAGGCCUUAGGGUUGUAAAGCUCUUUUACCCGGGAUGAUAAUGACAGUACCGGGAGAAUAAGCUCCGGCUAACUCCGUG